GUCCUCGGACAUGGCCCGAUAUGAACCUUCCCGUGCUUUUUAGAACAUAGAUGGCACCAGUCAGGUGACUAUCGAAACGUAAUACGCCGCGAUGACUUCGGUCACGACGGUAUGGCGAGCUUUCGCCGUCCACGUUUCUCUUUCUUCAAAAGGAUAUCGAACCAUUGGUUUGCGCUCACGCACGUACCGCCCUUCGGGCUGUGCUCCGCGGGGGCGCCGGACGACCGGCGACGGCCUCUGGCCUGUAUGGGAGAGCCUUGAUAGGCUUGAAGUUCGGCGAGAUGGGCCCGUAGCUCAGUUGGUUAGAGCACACGCUUGAUAAGCGUGGGGUCGGAAGUUCAAGUCUUCCCGGGCCCACCAUUUGCACCAGCAAAUGAGGUUUGCUGUAGCGAAUUGUGGUUUGUUUGGGUUUACCUGAUCCUGGCGGUUUGCUGUCAGGUGUUUGCGAUGGUUGGGGCUGUAGCUCAGCUGGGAGAGCACCUGCUUUGCAAGCAGGGGGUCAGCGGUUCGAUCCCGCUCAGCUCCACCAAUUCGCUUGGUGUCGAGACUGAGAGAUAUCCUUUGAAGAAA
rnacentral:tRNA from 1 species